GUUGGGCGGGGGACAAUUAUUAUGUGACGGAAUUAGGGAAGCGGCAUGAGACAACACGUGUGUGAUGUGGAAGAUGUAAAUGGAGUCUCGGAUUGAAAGUAAACUUUAUUCCAUUGGAGUUUAUGAGGCCAUUAAGCUUUACUAUGGAUCAGAGCGGUCAAGCGAACAUGGAUCCUGAGUACAUGUCAACCGGCUGUUUUCGGUGAGAAAAUUGUGGAAAUAAGUCGCCUCUUACCGGAGAUCAGCGGAGCCAACGUCCUCCUGCAGUGACUUCUCUCAGAGACUCUGGCGUCAACACACCCGUGGCCACACCCCUCCAACUUUAAGGUUCAGCAUCUUUGGAUCUGUGACAGGCAGAGACGGACGUCAAUCUUCGGCGUCAAAAGUUCAGGACGUAAUGGGAAUAAUUUGACGAGGCCCGCAGCGUGACAAUGAAUGAGCUGGGAGGUAC